GGACUACAGGGGUAUCUAAUCCCGUUCGCUCCCCUGGCUUUCGCACCUGAGCGUCAGUUCCUUCCCAGGACGCUGCCUUCGCCAUUGGUGUUCUUCCAGAUCUCUACGCAUUUCACCGCUCCACCUGGAAUUCCGCGUCCCUCUGAAGUCCUCAAGUCUUCCCGUAUUUCGAGGCCUGUCACAGUUAAGCUGUCACCUGUCACUCAAAACGUAAAAGACCGCCUGCGUGCGCUUUACGCCCAAUAAAUCCGGACAACGCUUGCCCCCUACGUAUUACCGCGGCUGCUGGCAC
rnacentral:rRNA from 1 species